AACGAACGCUGGCGGCAGGCUUAACACAUGCAAGUCGAGCGAUGUAGCAAUACAUAGUGGCGCACGGGUGAGUAACGCGUGGGAAUAUACCUUGUAGUGGGGAAUAACUCCGGGAAACUGGAGAUAAUACCGCAUACGCCCGAGAGGGGAAAGAUUUAUCGCUAUAAGAUUAGCCCGCGUGAGAUUAGGUAGUUGGUGGGGUAAUUGCCUACCAAGCCUACGAUCUCUAGCUGGUCUGAGAGGAUGAUCAGCCACACUGGAACUGAGACACGGUCCAGACUCCUACGGGAGGCAGCAAUGGGGAAUAUUGGACAAUGGUCGAAAACCUGAUCCAGCAAUGCCGCGUGAAUGAUGAAGGCCUUAGGGUUGUAAAGUUCUUUCGCCGAUGAAGAUAAUGACAGUAGUCGGAGAAGAAGCCCCGGCUAACUUCGUGCCAGCCGCCGCGGUAA
rnacentral:rRNA from 1 species